GUUUCCGUAGUGUAGUGGUUAUCACGUCUGCUUUACACGCAGAAGGUCCCAAGUUCGAGCCUUGUCGGAAACA
rnacentral:tRNA from 2 species